AAGAAAGGAAAGAGAAAGUCCAACCACUACGGCAAUACUUUUAAGCUCUACUAAAUGAUCGUAUCCUUUCUGGCUUCGAAACUUUUGUACCUAAAAAUCGAGAGAGGCGCUGCAUUUUUUCAGUUGAAACUGUCAAAACUUGGAGAAGGGGGACCUCGGAGGCAGGCAGGAGAGGAGGAGAAUCCUGAAAACUCGGUGGAGGUUGGGAAGAUGCUGUGCCUCGAGGAUUAGUUUAAACAGGGGGCUAUAAAAGAUGUAACAGAUGCAAACUGUAACACAAGGGCCAUUAACCCUUUCUCUGCCGGGCACACUCAGUCCCCACGCCCCACACCUAUUGUCUCCUGUGCUAGAAGCUUUGCAGAAAACCUGGAAAGUAUUUGCCAAGUCCUAAUUGCUGAAUAUAAUGAAUUGGAACUAGAUGCGAAAAUAGAGCAGGACCUCUCCCCUUGAUGAGUUUUUAUUCCAGCCAUAUAAUUCUCAAUAAAACUUUUCCUGGGCUGGAUAGCAAAGGACACCUUUGGUUACCUGAAUGAACAGGUACAGGGGAAAUUAUUUGGGGGAGGGAAAAAGGAGAGAAAAGCAAGGAGAGAGAGUGUGAGUGUAAGAGAAAGCGAAGAAGCCACUCUUGAGAAAAGCUUGCCAUAAAGGAGCUAAACCCACCUGAAAUUCCUACCCACGGACACCCCUUCUCACUUCAGACUCACAUCCCCACUCAAAAUGAGAAAAUUAGAAAAGGAGGAUGGAGGACGAGCACACCAAAAAGGGAUAAAAAGAGAGAAAAGGGGAGGAAAAAAAACCUACCUGCGAAGUCUUGUUUGUAGUUUUGGCCAGAAAUGGUGAGAAGAAAAAGCAUGAAGAAGCCGCGAAGUGUGGGGGAGAAAAAGGUGGAAGCGAAGAAACAGCUCCCGGAGCAAACUGUACAAAAACCUCGCCAAGAGUGUCGGGAGGCAGGACCGUUAUUCCUGCAGAGCAGGAGAGAGACGAGAGACCCUGAAACACGCGCCACCUAUCUUUGUGGGGAGGGAUAAUUGAAGCGCCCUGAGCGUGAGCAUCAUGUGAAAACGUGAUCGCCAAGUUUCUCUCUGGGAAAGGAUCUGGGAUAGAUUAUACCUUGAAGUCUCCGCAAACGCUUUAGUGGAAGA
rnacentral:lncRNA from 1 species